AAGCUAAUCCAGUGGCUCGCUAUCGUUGAUAGCACCCGCCCAAGCCGUGUGAACCUGUAAUACGGCGCCGCUCCUGCGGUGGUUCAUCUCCCAAGUCUGUCUCGCAUCCGGUAGCACAGACGGUCGCCUAAACAGCGAUGGAUGC
rnacentral:ncRNA from 1 species